CUGGGAGAGAACAUAGGCAGGGUUAGGCAUGGGAGAAUGUGUCUGACUCACAACGAAGGAAUGAAGCAUGCCGGGCCUCAUCUCGGACCUGCACACUGCCCCUCAUUAUGUUCAUGAUCGGCAGGAAAUGGAUAAAGAGUGGCCAGAAGGUGAAAAAGAAGAGAUGGCCCCCUGAAAGGGACAUCCACAUUUAUUUGAGCACCUACCAGGAUACCUGCUUUGGGAGCCUUCUGCUGCUGCGUGAGAUCCCUGGCUACCCUGGAGAGACAUCAGACAACAAGUGAGAUGCCCAAGAGCCCUAGCUGUCUUUGUCUUUGCAGCCCAAGCUCCAGACAUGUACUGAAGAAGCUUUAAGGAUAAAUUCAGUCCCAACUACUCCCUGGCUACAACUAUGAGACAGACCCUCCCAAGUCAGAACUGCCUAGCCAAGCUCAGGCAACUCCAAGA
rnacentral:lncRNA from 1 species